CACACCGCCCGUCACACCAUGGAAGUUUGCUGCACCAGAAGUAGGUAGUCUAACCGCAAGGAGGGCGCCUACCACGGUGUGGCCGAUGACUGGGGUG
rnacentral:rRNA from 1 species